rfam:Sorghum bicolor cultivar BTx623 chromosome 8, whole genome shotgun sequence.
GUAGUCAGAUUUGUAUUAAUCUACAUGUGUUAGGGUGAAUUGGAGUGGAAUUUAAACUAAAUUCUAUCCCAAUCCACUCCAACACAUGUGGAUUGAGGUAAAUCUGACA